rnacentral:pre_miRNA from 1 species
CCGUGCUGAGAUUUCGUCACACACCAAACCACAAGAGCUGAUGAGACUUCCAAG